CUACGGGUUGCAGCAGGCGAGAAAACUUUGCAAUGUGCGAAAGCACGACAAGGUUAAUCCGAGUGGUCUCUGCUAAAGGGACCUUUUGACAGUCCUAGAAACACUGUUGAAUAAGGGGUGGGCAAGUUCUGGUGUCAGCCGCCGCGGUAAAACCAGCACCUCAAGUGGUCAGGAUGAUUAUUGGGCCUAAAGCAUCCGUAGCCUGCUUUGUCAGUUUUCGGUUAAAUCCAUACGCUCAACGUAUGGGCUGCCGGGAAUACUGCAAAGCUAGGGAGUGGGAGAGGUAGACGGUACUCGGUAGGAAGGGGUAAAAUCCUUUGAUCUAUUGAUGACCACCUGUGGCGAAGGCGGUCUACCAGAACACGUCCGACGGUGAGGGAUGAAAGCUGGGGGAGCAAACCGGAUUAGAUACCCGAGUAGUC
rnacentral:rRNA from 1 species